rnacentral:misc_RNA from 1 species
UCCACCGCCACCACCACCACCACCGCUGUUAACAGCAACGGCACUAAACAAUCAGACCCAGAAAAACCCAUCAACGACGUUGAAGAUGACGACGUUUCCCCCAUUGAGGAGGUCAGGCUAACCGUUACCAACACGGACGACCCGACCCUUCCUGUAUGGACCUUCAGGAUGUGGUUCUUGGGUUUGCUAUCAUGUGGACUUCUCUCUUUCCUUAACCAAUUCUUUUCUUACAGAACAGAGCCUCUUGUUAUCACCCAAAUCACCGUACAAGUUGCCACACUUCCUGUCGGCCGUUUCUUGGCUGCUGUGCUGCCUACUACCAAGUUUCGGAUACCUGGUCUCGGGUCAAGAACGGUUUCUUUGAACCCGGGGCCAUUUAACAUGAAAGAGCACGUACUCAUCUCCAUCUUUGCAAAUGCUGGAAGUGCAUUUGGAAAUGGAUCUGCUUAUGCUGUUGCUAUUGUUACUAUAAUCAAAGCAUUUUACAAGAGGAAAAUUUCAAUCUUGGCUAGUUGGAUUCUCAUAGUUACAACACAGGUAUUAGGAUAUGGGUGGGCGGGGCUGCUGAGGAAGUAUGUGGUGGAGCCUGCUGAAAUGUGGUGGCCUAGCACUCUGGUUCAGGUCUCCCUCUUCAGGGCUCUGCAUGAGAAAGAUGAAAAAGAUCAACGCAUGACAAGGGCUAAGUUCUUCCUAAUUGCACUAAUUUGCAGUUUUUCCUGGUAUGUAGUUCCAGGAUACCUAUUCACAACACUU